AAGCCAUUGUGCGGACAAUCUCGCACUAGUCUCUUAAACCUCACCCAGGCAUCACUGAGCAAUUCGUAAAUAUCCUGUUUAAAAUUUGUAAUCAACUUCCUCCUUCU